rnacentral:rRNA from 1 species
GGACGAACGCUGGCGGCGUGCCUAAUACAUGCAAGUCGAACGAACUCUGGUAUUGAUUGGUGCUUGCAUCAUGAUUUACAUUUGAGUGAGUGGCGAACUGGUGAGUAACACGUGGGAAACCUGCCCAGAAGCGGGGGAUAACACCUGGAAACAGAUGCUAAUACCGCAUAACAACUUGGACCGCAUGGUCCGAGCUUGAAAGAUGGCUUCGGCUAUCACUUUUGGAUGGUCCCGCGGCGUAUUAGCUAGAUGGUGGGGUAACGGCUCACCAUGGCAAUGAUACGUAGCCGACCUGAGAGGGUAAUCGGCCACAUUGGGACUGAGACACGGCCCAAACUCCUACGGGAGGCAGCAGUAGGGAAUCUUCCACAAUGGACGAAAGUCUGAUGGAGCAACGCCGCGUGAGUGAAGAAGGGUUUCGGCUCGUAAAACUCUGUUGUUAAAGAAGAACAUAUCUGAGAGUAACUGUUCAGGUAUUGACGGUAUUUAACCAGAAAGCCACGGCUAACUACGUGCCAGCAGCCGCGGUAAUACGUAGGUGGCAAGCGUUGUCCGGAUUUAUUGGGCGUAAAGCGAGCGCAGGCGGUUUUUUAAGUCUGAUGUGAAAGCCUUCGGCUCAACCGAAGAAGUGCAUCGGAAACUGGGAAACUUGAGUGCAGAAGAGGACAGUGGAACUCAUGUGUAGCGGUGAAAUGCGUAGAUAUAUGGAAGAACACCAGUGGCGAAGGGCGGCUGUCUGGUCUGUAACUGACGCUGAGGCUCGAAAGUAUGGGUAGCAAACAGGAUUAGAUACCCUGGUAGUCCAUACCGUAAACGAUGAAUGCUAAGUGUUGGAGGGUUUCCGCCCUUCAGUGCUGCAGCUAACGCAUUAAGCAUUCCGCCUGGGGAGUACGGCCGCAAGGCUGAAACUCAAAGGAAUUGACGGGGGCCCGCACAAGCGGUGGAGCAUGUGGUUUAAUUCGAAGCUACGCGAAGAACCUUACCAGGUCUUGACAUACUAUGCAAAUCUAAGAGAUUAGACGUUCCCUUCGGGGACAUGGAUACAGGUGGUGCAUGGUUGUCGUCAGCUCGUGUCGUGAGAUGUUGGGUUAAGUCCCGCAACGAGCGCAACCCUUAUUAUCAGUUGCCAGCAUUAAGUUGGGCACUCUGGUGAGACUGCCGGUGACAAACCGGAGGAAGGUGGGGAUGACGUCAAAUCAUCAUGCCCCUUAUGACCUGGGCUACACACGUGCUACAAUGGAUGGUACAACGAGUUGCGAACUCGCGAGAGUAAGCUAAUCUCUUAAAGCCAUUCUCAGUUCGGAUUGUAGGCUGCAACUCGCCUACAUGAAGUCGGAAUCGCUAGUAAUCGUGGAUCAGAACGCCACGGUGAAUACGUUCCCGGGCCUUG